rnacentral:rRNA from 1 species
UUCCAGACUCCUACGGGAGGCAGCAGUGGGGAAUAUUGCACAAUGGGGGAAACCCUGAUGCAGCGACGCCGCGUGAGCGAGGAAGUAUUUCGGUAUGUAAAGCUCUGUCAGCAGGGAAGAAGAAUGACGGUACCUGAAGAAGAAGCACCGGCUAAAUACGUGCCAGCAGCCGCGGUAAUACGUAUGGUGCAAGCGUUAUCCGGAUUUACUGGGUGUAAAGGGAGCGCAGGCGGUUCUGCAAGUCUGAUGUGAAAGCCCGGGGCUCAACCGCGGGACUGCAUUGGAAACUGCGGGACUGGAGUGUCGGAGGGGUAAGCGGAAUUCCUGGUGUAGCGGUGAAAUGCGUAGAUAUCAGGAGGAACACCGGUGGCGAAGGCGGCUUACUGGACGAUGACUGACGCUGAGGCUCGAAAGCGUGGGGAGCAAACAGGAUUAGAUACCCCCGUA